CACGUGGCUGGGAAAAUGAUCCUGUUAUUGCUACUUGGUCAUUGCCUGUCGACUUGCAACCACUUUCCACCCACCGGGCACUAGUCCAGUGUCCACAGGGCACAGAUUCAGUGUCCAGGAUGGUUGGCUCUGAAACAAAAGCAGGAAUUGAAGUGACGAUGCUGCAGUGGAGUCCCGCGGCCCGAGCACCCUGGCCGUGCUUCCUGCAGCCUCCUGGCUGGGCAGGGGCGGGACGGCGGUCCUGGGGCAGGUGAACGGAGCUGAUGCACAGAGGAGGUGGCCAAGCUGGAAAAGCACCUGAUGCUCCUCCGCCAGGAGUAUGUGAAGCUGCAGAAGAAACUUGUUGAUACAGAAAGGAGAUGCAACCUUCUGGCCGUUGAGGCCAACCAGGACAAUGCCAGCGACACCUUCAUCAGUCGACUUCUCGCCAUUGUAGCUGAACUCUAUCAGCAGGAGCAGUACAGUGAUCUGAAGAUAAAGGUUGGGGACAAGCACAUCAGCGCUCACAAAUUUGUCUUGGCGGCACGCAGCGAUACGUGGAGUCUUGCCAACCUUGCCUCAACAGAGGAGCUGGAUCUGUCAGCAGAUGCUGACCCAGAGGUAACCAUGGCAAUGCUGCGGUGGAUCUACACAGAUGAACUUGAGCUAAGAGAAGAUGAUAUCUUCUUGACAGAGCUCAUGAAAUUAGCUAAUAAAUUUCAGCUCCAGUUGCUUAGGGAAAGAUGUGAAAAAGGAGUUAUGUCACUCGUUAAUGUCAGGAACUGCAUCCGUUUCUAUCAGACUGCCGAGGAGCUCAGUGCCAGCACGCUCCUCAACUACUGUGCUGAGAUCAUUGCUAGCCACUGGGAUGACUUGCGUAAAGAAGACUUCAGCAGCAUGAGUGCUCAGCUAUUGUAUAAAAUGUUCAAGUCAAAGACAGAAUAUCCUUUGCAUAAGGCCAUUAAAGUUGAGAGAGAAGAUGUAGUCUUUUUGUAUCUUAUUGAAAUGGAUUCACAGCUUCCUGGGAAGCUCAACGAGUUGGAUCACAAUGGAGAUCUUGCUCUGGAUCUAGCCCUGGCCCAAAGAUUGGAGAGUAUUGCAACUACACUGGUCAACUACAAGGCUGACGUAGAUAGGGCAGACAAGAGAGGCUGGAGUCUGCUCCAUAAAGCCAUCCAGAGAGGAGAUAAAUUUGCUGCAAACUUCCUCAUUAAAAAUGGUGCCCGUGUGAAUAGCGCUACACUGGGAGACCAGGAGACUCCUCUGCACCUUGUGGCAUCGUACAGCCCCAAGAAGCACUCGCCAGAUGUCAUGGCAGAGAUGGCACAGAUUGCACAGUCCCUCCUGCAGGCAGGAGCCAACCCAAACAUGCAAGACAGCAAAGGCAGGACCCCGUUACAUGUGUCCAUUGUGGUCAGGAACGAGCCUGUGUUCAGUCAGCUCCUGCAGUGCAAGCAACUAGACUUGGAGCUGAAGGAUCAUGAAGGAAGCACAGCUCUGUGGCUUGCAGUCCAGUAUAUCACUGUAUCGUCUGAUCAGUCUGUGAACCCUUUUGAGGAUGCCCCUGUUGUGAAUGGAACCUCAUUUGAUGAGAACAGUUUUGCAGCAAGGUUGAUCCAGCGAGGCAGCAAUACAGAUGCUCCAGACACAGUAACAGGAAACUGCUUGCUUCAGAGAGCAGCUGGUGCAGGAAAUGAGGCAGCUUCUCUCUUCCUAGCAACUCAUGGAGCAAAAGUCAACCACCAAAACAAAUGGGGAGAAACCCCACUGCACACAGCCUGCAGGCAUGGCCUGGCAAACCUGACAGCAGAACUCCUGCAGCAAGGAGCCAACCCCAACAUCCAGACAGCAGAGGCAGUGCUUGGGCAGAAGGAUGCAUCUGCUCCUCCAUCAGCAGAGAAUGUUCAUCUGCAAACUCCCCUUCACAUGGCUAUUGCUUACAAUCACCCAGAUGUGGUGUCAGUCAUCCUAGAACAAAAAGCUAAUGCUCUUCAUGCUACCAACAACUUGCAAAUUAUUCCUGACUUUAGUCUAAAGGACUCAAGAGACCAGACUGUGCUGGGAUUGGCUCUUUGGACAGGCAUGCACACAAUAGCAGCUCAGCUGCUUGGAUCUGGGGCAUCCAUCAAUGACACCAUGUCAGACGGACAGACGCUCCUGCACAUGGCAAUCCAGAGACAGGACAGUAAGAGUGCCCUCUUCCUGCUGGAACAUCAGGCAGAUAUAAAUGUCAGGACCCAGGAUGGAGAGACAGCCCUACAGCUGGCCAUCCAAAACCAGCUCCCACUCGUGGUGGAUGCCAUUUGUACCAGGGGAGCAGACAUGUCUGUGCCAGAUGAGAAAGGAAAUCCUCCCUUAUGGCUCGCCUUGGAAAACAACCUGGAAGAUAUUGCAUCAACUCUGGUUAGGCAUGGCUGUGAUGCAACGUGUUGGGGGUCAGGACCAAGUGGCUGCUCACAAACCCUUCUCCACAGAGCUAUUGAUGAGAACAGUGAACAGAUUGCUUGCUUCCUUAUCCGCAGUGGGUGUGAUGUGAAUAGUCCCAGAAAGCCAGGCCCAAAUGGAGAAGGAGAAGAGGAAGCCCAUGAUGGGCAGACACCCCUACACUUGGCAGCCUGCUGGGGACUAGAGGAGGUGAUCCAGUGCCUUCUGGAGUUUGGUGCCAAUGUCAAUGCUCAGGAUGCAGAAGGAAGAACUCCAAUCCAUGUUGCCAUUAGCAACCAACAUAAUGUUAUCAUUCAGCUGAUGAUUUCACAUCCAGAUAUUAAGCUGAAUGUACGUGACAGGCAAGGAAUGACUCCCUUUGCUUGUGCUAUGACGUAUAAAAAUAAUAAAGCAGCUGAAGCAAUUUUGAAGAGGGAGCCAGGAGCUGCAGAACAGGUUGAUAAUAAAGGUCGGAAUUUCCUCCAUGUGGCUGUCCAGAACUCGGACAUCGAGAGCGUGCUGUUCCUGAUCAGCGUGCAGGCCAAUGUCAACUCUCGGGUCCAGGAUGCCUCCAAACUGACCCCUCUGCACCUGGCAGUGCAGGCUGGCUCGGAGAUUAUUGUGCGCAAUCUGCUGCUUGCAGGUGCCCAGGUGAAUGAACUGACCAAGCACCGCCAGACUGCUCUUCACUUAGCAGCCCAGCAAGACCUGCCCACCAUUUGUUCAGUCCUUCUGGAGAAUGGAGUAGACUUUGCAGCUGUAGAUGAAAAUGGAAAUAACGCUCUGCAUCUGGCAGUGAUGCAUGGCCGUCUGAACAACAUCCGGGUCCUCCUCACAGAGUGCAAUGUAGAUGCAGAAGCCUUUAAUAUCAGAGGCCAGUCACCAAUGCAUAUUCUGGGACAAUAUGGGAAAGAUAAUGCAGCAGCCAUCUGUGACCUCUUCUUGGAGUGUAUGCCAGAAUACCCUCUAGACAAACCUGAUGCUGAAGGAAACACAGUGCUCCUCUUGGCUUACAUGAAGGGAAAUGCUAACUUGUGUCGUGCAAUAGUGAGAGCUGGGGCUCGCCUGGGAGUUAACAAUAACCAAGGAGUCAAUAUCUUCAAUUACCAAGUUGCUACAAAACAGCUUCUCUUUAGAUUGCUGGAUAUGCUGACAAAAGAACCUCCCUGGUGUGAUGGCUCCAACUGCUAUGAAUGUGCUGCCAAAUUCGGAGUCACGACAAGAAAGCAUCACUGCCGACACUGUGGACGCCUGCUCUGCCAUAAGUGCUCAACAAAGGAGAUUCCUAUCAUAAAAUUUGAUCUGAACAAGCCAGUUCGAGUUUGCAACAUCUGCUUUGAUGUCCUGACUCUGGGAGGAGUCUCCUAGUAUGCUGUGGAUGUAAAGGGAUUUCCAGUCAGUGCUCCUGACAGCAGCUCUGCUUACAAGCCCUCUGGAUAGGGAAGAGGAGGCCUAUACAUGUCUUCUGCAAUAGACUGAACUAAUUAAGGACCCUGUUAUGAUAUACUCUGGUAUAAAUGAUUUUGUAUGACUGUAAAUGUAUCGGGCUGCGAUAGACUUCACUAGGAAUCAGAGUGGAUUGUUGAAACCAAGUGACAAAAGAAUUUAGACCCUCUUCUAAUUGCAGUGGGGUAUGGAAGCUGAAAUUUAUACUGAUUGAAUCGGCAUAAAACAGGUCUGUCCUCAACAUGGUGCUUUGCACUGAGCAACUCUAUUAAGUCCUGUGGCUUUCAGGCUACUUAGUAGAGAUGGUAUUAAGUUUCAGGGUAACCAGGUAUCUUUCUUUGCUUUGUCUUAAAGAUAAACGUUCCCCUUCUCUAGAGAAGACUUUUUGUGAAGCUAAACUGAGCUGUUGCAACCACUGUUCAAGAAACUCUUCAGACCUGGGGUUAGUUCUAAGUAUAGCUCAAGAAUUGUGGCCUUACAACAGAAAGCUUUACAUCUGAUGCAAAGCAGUCAGAAUUGCAGAUCCACAUCUUGAUACCUCCUCAGCAAAUGACUCAUUAGCUUUAGCAUGUUCAAGAGAAGUGCAAGAUUGUUUUAGGAAAUGCUCUUGCCUGCUGGAACUGUCAGUCUUCGUUGCACUUUCAUAUUUAUGUUGCUGGUCCUUCCAGUUCGUGGCGCUUGUAUAAAUGACCAUGAGUUUGCUGAAAGGCCUAAGCAUGUGUUAAAGGAGAAACACUAAAACUGGUGAAGUCUAACUCACAGUACAGCAAUAAAUGCUGAAGUGCAUUAGGAAUCCCAGGAGGGAGAGUGAUACUUUCCUGGGGCUUAAGGGGCCUGGUAACUGCUGUGGGAGAGUCAGUAACCCUACCACGUGUAAAAUGUGCUGCACCUCUAGACACUAAACUUGGGUCCAUUUUCAGCUGGUGAGUGUACGUGGAGGCUUCCUAUUAGGAGUAAGCUGCAGAAUUUUAAUCUAGGCUGGCUGUACUCUCUUAAACAUGCUGAAUCUGUGGAAACCUACCACCACAUUGUCUAGAUAAAUAGGAAAGUACUUGACUGGUAGACCAGCUUGUGAUUUGGUGGGCAAAGGCUUCAGUUAGAAAAAAAGGGUACUUAAGCAAAACUACAUGCCAUGUUAAGGCUGUUUUUAUUUCAAGAGAUAAAGCUAGUAUAGACUCAAUUCAGCAUUCCUCAUCUUUACUCCAUGAAUUGGUGUGCAUUUUUUAAUGACUGUUAUCUCCAGUGAACAGUGUGGACAGGUGAUGAUGUGUUGCCCUGUUUGGAGCAGUGACUUGGUCUCAAAGAGUAAAGUGAGAUGAUGAACCAGACUGCUGCUGUUACAGGAGACUUGCUCAGUUUUUCUCAAGCUUGUACAAGGAGAGGAUAGGAGGGUGUAAUUGCUGACAUUUGUAUGAUUAAUUUCACAUCAAGUCUCACUUGAUCUGCACUUUGAUCUUCCAAUAUGCACAUAUUGUAACUGGAAUCACCCCUGUACCACUAGGGAAGAACAAUGGAUGACAAUACAAACUUGCCUCACUGUUUGAUGUCUGCUGCUGUCAUGUUCCAACAGAAUGCUCUGGGUAACACAGCUGGUCUCUAACACAGUUACUAAUGCAAAUGGUGCAUCUCUGGCAUAAUAGUGUAGGUGAAGGAGGGAAAAUAGUGGUGUCAGUUAAUGUUAGCUACAGUAAUUGAUGGUGUCAGCUAACUGCAAUCUACAGAUUGGGGUUUUUAAGUGAAAGAGAUGAUGAAAAACAUUGUACUUCUGAUAUUUCAGGGUGUCACUGGUUGCAGAUGUCUAGGAGUGAAAGAUAACAAUGGAGGGAAAGUGCAUUUGGUGAAAGAAGUCUUGACUGUAGUCCCAUGAUAACAUGUUGUUGGUUUGGAGCUGAAAUGAUGUGGGAAGGUAAGAGUGUGCUCAGAAUGCUGAGAGUGCAGAGGAGGGGUUUUCCAAGGCCACAGCCUAUGGGCUUCAGCCUCAUUGGAAAACUGCACAGCAUGUAAUUGCCAAAGUAUUUAAACAUCACUUUUUCAGUGGCUCCCCUGAUGGAAGGGCAAGGGAACAGGGAGCUCAGCUCUAACAGAUAAGCAAGCUUUAUAAUGAUGGAAAAUGUGGAUCUGGUGAAAAUUCAGCUUAACUGAAUGGCAAGGUAAGGCUGGGUAGUUGCUCUUCUAAAAAAUAGGAUAUUGAUUACAACUGUAAAACUGUGGGGAAGAUCUGGGAAACCCAUCUGUAGUGCUCCUGGUUUGCUGUUUACAGCCAGUAGUGUCCCAUCUUACUGAAGUCUGAAGGGAAAGCUAAGGUUAUUGUUAAAUAAUACAGCCUGAGGUGUUAGUUAAAUUUAAAGCAACUAAAUUGAGCAAAUUUGAUCCUUUUAAAGUGCCUUUGGGAUAGUUUCCUUCCAGCCAACUCUAAAUAGCUUUCUGCCAGAGCUAAAGGGGAAAAGCUCACAACUUGAACCAAAACCCAAGUUCAUUCUUUCCUAGUUCAGCUGAGGAGCUGACCCCACCAGACAACUGGUGGGACUCAAUCCCUCACACACUCUGCCUAGUGUUGGUCUCAACUCUCAGACCACUGAGACUUUUUUGGGAGUUUUGCUGGCAAUGCUCCACUACAGGGUACAAAUGUGAAUGAGGUGCUUGGUAAUGUAGUGGUGGUCAACACAUUUCUAACUCUAAAUAACUGCUCCUCCCUUUUUGUAGCAUAAUACAGUUUUUACCAACCCCCCACCCCUCUUACCCCUGCUUUUAAUGGUAUCUAUUAACUCGAGACUCAAGUCUGCCAAGCAUUGAACAAAAGGUUAGAUGGAAAAUCAGUUUGUGUCCCUGGAAGUGCUGCUGUCACACGAGGCUCCAGGCACUUCAGCAGGGCUGCAUGGGAAGUUGGGUGGUUCAUGCUGCAGCUUUUUGUUCUGAGACUGGAUUCCUUUUGAUUGCAGUCAUCCAGCACUCUUACACAAGCAAAUACCAUGGUCCAGCACUCUUACACAAGCACAAACUGUGGUCUGGAUGAAAUUUUUUGUCUGUAAAAGGUGCAGUCACUGUUUCACACCACUGAGUGGAGUGAGAAUGUUGCUUUUGAAGGUACUAACAGAGCAGAGUAAGUUGCUGGCUAAAAGCUGACAGAUGCCUUAAUGACUUCCCAUGCUGGAGAUAACAGCUUGUCCAACUGCUCAUGUAGUGCUUACAAACUAACAUGUAACAGUAUGGGAGGCCAAGGCUGGAUCGUUUUGUAGAUCAAAUGUUAAUAGGCAAGUCCUCUUUUUUUGUAACCAGCAGAGGUGGUCACUGCAGCAAACUCAUCUCUAGAAAAAUCAAAGCUUGUAUGAGUGACAGAAAUAACUGAACCUUCUAAUACCCUCUGUGAAAUAGAAAAGGAAGUCUUAGAACAAUGGCAUUUUAUCUGCAAUGUUUGUCUGGAGUCGUUGUAAAAAUGUAUUUUUCCAAUAUGCAUUACUUUGUUGUGUAAUGAUUCUACUUGUAAUAAAAUGCAGAACUUAGAUGAUGCAUCGUGAGGUGAAACCUUGCUAAGGAAGUAUCUGCUCCUGUAGAGACAGCUGCCCCUCUGCAAGCUUAUACUCACAAACCACAAAGAAAACCAGGGAUACAAUAUCCAGUCGGGCAUAACAACUUUAUUCUUUGUUCUGAAAUUAGUCCAGGUAUUCAUUUUCAUGCUGUGGAACUGCUACAACUGUUCUUUUGGCUGUCAAGGUCUGGUGUUCUAGUUUGUACCAUGUAGUCAUCUUGAAUGCCUUAUACUAGACUUACCUAUAAUCAGUCUUGUGAAACAAACCCGAGCUCCCCACGAGCCAGAGGUGCUUCAUGUUCAUCAGUUUGAGUUACUACUAACACUUGGUGUACUCAGCUGUGUACUGGAGGCAGCUCAGGCCCCUGGGAGAGCAGAGAACUGCUGCAGCUUCACUUCAGGAAAAGGAAAACUUCAGUGCAAUAGCAAACCCAGCCACGGCUUCUGGGUGAGAUUGUGAUGCAUUAGUCUUUUAUUAAUAAAACUUAACUGAAGUACAGAUGAAUGGUGAGCUUUAUUAGAGCACUGUCUGUGGUGACUUGAGCCCUCUGUAGCUAUCACUGGUUUCUUCCACUCUUUUCCACCACAUGAGAAUCCAGCUGAGCUGCUGAAUUGGAGUUACAAGCAUGACAGUCUUGGAUCACUUCAGGUCAGUGAGGGUGUCUCCUUGUUUGCUUUAAUAGAUGACUUAUUCCUAGUGCAAGACACUCUUCCCCCCACAGUGUUACCAAACUAAACUGAGGAAUAAGCUGUGAACUGGUUUUCAAUCAACUUUAACUUAACCAACACCCUUCCUGCCCUGCCUUUUUGCAGCAGUUUAUUUGAUUUUUGUGUAGCUCUUGCAAUCAAAACCAUCCCCUCAGCACCAUCUGCACAAUGAUUGAGUGUUGCAGCAAGAUGAAACUUGCUAAGAAAGUCAAGCUGGUCCACCUUCAUUGGGACUGGUUUGCCCUCACAAACUACUUCCUACAGCAUUUAAUAGUCUGGAAUUUACUUCAACUUUUAAAUAGCUUAAAAAAGCUCUUUAAAAGGCACUAAUUAUUUGGGGAGAUGCUUUAAAUGCAAUUUCUUUUUAAAGUGGUGGUGUCUUUUUAGAUGUGGCAAAGGCCAAAGUUGUGGAGGCAGUGAAGUGCUGCUUUGUAGCUCUUCCCUGCACCUUUUACAAAGCUUGAUCUUCAGCAUCGUGUGAAAGGAGUUGCUCACUCCACCCCCAAAGAUGGCUCAAGCCCAGGGCUGAGGUUCAGUUCUGCCACACAUCCUAUCCCCAGCACGACGAGCUGGCAGAGCAGGGCAAUGCCUGGAAGAGCUUCUCUUCAGGAUGAUGACAGGUAAAAAACCCCAAAAAUAAAACCACAACCCUCACUGUGCCCACUGUUAAAACAAGCAUGUACAUAUUGAAGUUGCUGUGUGGCUUCACCCCUGGCAGCUGGAGCAUCCUCUGAGCUUUUGUCAGUGGGAAGUGUUGUAAUGUGUCCUACUGCAAGGGAGUAAACUUGCUAAUUAACUAACUAAUCACUUAGACUUUGGGCCUCUCUUUAGAGGUGGUGGUAGCUAAAAAUCAGUUUAUAGUUUUUUUUUUUUUUUACAGUUGCUUACAUAUAGGUGUCAGCUGCCUUAAGGAGAAGAACUGACCACAAUUCAUCAGGGACCGGUGCCACCACUGGACCUUGAUCUGCGUGGUUCUCUCAAAGCUCAGCUACACCAAAACUGAUUUUAACAGCAGAUGCCAUUAAAACCAGCAACUGCUUCCCUGCAGCUUGAGGUUUGUAGUGCCUGAACCCUGUGCAGGUAUUCCUUCCUCCCUUUUAGCCCCAGCCAGAAAUGGUAAUAACCUGCCCUGCAUUUCUGGGAGUCGCUCAUAGUGCCGAAUUCUGCUAGCUGUGAUACAGUAACUAUAGAUUUUAAGAGUGCUGGGUCUUGUAAGGGCACAUCCACCUCAGUUUAUAGUGUGAUAGGCACAGACCAGAUGGGAGGAAGUUUUAUACCAGAAUGGAAACAGGAGGCAGAUUACAGUAGGAUGGUUCUGUUGCCACCCAGGCAACAAAAAGAAAGCUAUUUAAAACUACUCAUUCCUGAUCAGAACAAGUUUGAAAGUGGUGAAUCACAGAACAGGAGGGUGAGGUUAAUAUCAAGCAACAAUCCUCAUAGGUGGCUUCAAUAUCUUGGCACAGUAUUUAAUGUAAACACUGAAUGUGGAAAUACAGCUCUGGCCUUUGCCUUCUCUACUCCAAGAAUUUGAUAAAGCUUGUGUGUAACUAAACUGCGCAAGUUCCUAGAUACUCUGGACCUUAAUUGCAGAAGAAAUUCAGGGUUCUCUCUGCUACCUUUAAACUUUGGAGUGAGUCAGACCUGUGGACUGUGCAUCAAGUGUGGGCAGAGGUGCUGCAGCAGUUCCUGUGCUUGCUGCCUUAAACCACAGCACACUGUCCCACCACUGUGCACACCAACUUCCAUUUCCUGACUGCACAAGAAAGCUG